GACGAACGCUGGCGGCGUGCUUAACACAUGCAAGUCGAACGGUAAGGCCCUUCGGGGUACACGAGUGGCGAACGGGUGAGUAACACGUGGGUGAUCUGCCCUGCACUUCGGGAUAAGCCUGGGAAACUGGGUCUAAUACCGGAUAGGACUCCGGACUGCAUGGUCUGGGGUGGAAAGCUUUUGCGGUGUGGGAUGGGCCCGCGGCCUAUCAGCUUGUUGGUGGGGUGAUGGCCUACCAAGGCGACGACGGGUAGCCGGCCUGAGAGGGUGACCGGCCACACUGGGACGGAGAUACGGCCCAGACUCAUACGGGAGGCAGCAGUGGGGAAUAUUGCACAAUGGGCGCGAGCCUGAUGCAGCGACGCCGCGUGGGGGAUGACGGCCUUCGGGUUGUAAACCUCUUUCAGCACAGACGAAGCGCAAGUGACGGUAUGUGCAGAAGAAGGACCGGCCAACUACGUGCCAGCCGCCGCGGUAA
rnacentral:rRNA from 1 species